AAAGAGAAGCAAAUGGGUCUGAUGUGUUCAAUUAAAUGGGGAACGAGUGAUUUCUUUAAGUUUCUUAGAUGCUCAGAUAUGUUACAUUAUGUGCGCAUGCGCAGCUUCACUAGGACUUAAAUUACAGCACCUGGUAAUCACUUGACCGCAGACAAUCAUCAGGAGCACACAGCCCGUUGGUAUGUAACUGUUCUUGUGACCGUUCUUGAUACACGGGAAACUGUUGAGUGAAAACCCCAGCAGCGUUGCAGUUCUUGACACAAACUGGUGCCCAUGGCACCCAAUACCAUACCCCGUUUGAAGGCACUUAAAUAUUUUGUCUUGCACAUUCACCCUCUGAAUUGCACACAUACACAAUCCAUGUCUCUUGAGUUGGUUGAGUUACUGACUUGAUCUUCCUGUUCGGGUUGGCGUCCCCUCGGGUUCGUGCCAUGGGGGAGAUCUUCAUGGGCUAUACUCGGCCUUGUCUCAAGGAGGACCUGAGCCCUAAGACCAUGCCUCAGGACGAUCUGGCCUGAUGACUCCUUGCUGUCCCCAGUCCACCUGGUCAUGCUGCUGCUCCAGUUUCAACUGUUCUACCUGCGGCUAUGGAACCCUGACCUGUUCACUGGACGUGCUACCAGGGUCCCAGACCUGCUGUUUUGAACACUCUCUCUGUUUCUAACUCUAACCUGCUGUCUCUAACUGAAUGAUCGGCUAUGAAAAGUCAACUGACAUUUACGCCUGAGGUGCUGACCUGUUGCACCCUCUACAACUACUGUGAUUAUUAUUAUCCGUCCCUGCUGGUCAUCUAAGAACAUUUUAACAUCUUGGCCAUGUUCUGUUAUAAUCUCCUGAGGCAUGGUCCUAGGGCUCAGGUCCUCCGAGAGAGAGAAAGAAAGAAAGAAAGAGAGAAAAAGAGUAGGAAUUAGAGAGAGCAUACUUAAAUUAACACAGGACACCGGAUAAGACAGGAGAAAUACUCCAGAUAUAACAGACUGACCCUAGCCACCCCCCCCGACACAUAAACUACUGCCGCAUAAAUACUGGAGGCUGAGACAGGAGGGGUUGGGAGACACUGUGGCCCCGUCCGACAAUACCCCCGGACAGGGCCAAACAGGCAGGAUAUAACCCCACCCACUUUGCCAAAGCGCAGCCCCCACACCACUAGAGGGAUAUUUUCAACCACCAACUUACCAUCCUGAGACAAGGCCGAGUAUGGCCACAAAGAUCUCCCCCACGGCACAACCCAAGGGGGGGCGCCAACCCGGACAGGAAGAUCACGUCAGCAACUCAACCCACUCAAGUGGCGCACCGCUCCUAGGGACGGCAUGGAAGAACACCAGUAAGCCAGUGACUCAGCCCCUGUAAUAGGGUUAGAGGCAGAGAAUCCCAGUGGAGAGAGGGGAACCGGACAGGUAGAGACAGCAAGGGCGGUUCGUUGCUCCCGUGCCUUUCCGUUCACAUUCACACUCCUGGGCCAGACUACACUCAAUCAUAGGACCUACUGAAGAGAUUGAGUGUAUUCAAGCAGUAAAACCUUGAAAUCAGCCCUUGCCUUAACAGGAAGCCAGUAUAGAGGCUAGCACUGGAGUAAUAUGAUACAUUUUUUUGGUUCUAGUCAAGAUUCUAGCAGCUGUGUUUAGCACUGAUUAUUUAGUGCUUUAUAUGUGGUUAUUUCAUGAAAUUAUGUACUGUAAGUAUGUGUAAUUAAAUCACAUUGCUGUCUCAUGAAAUGUAAUUGUUUCUAUAACAUAACCUACAAUAACUUACUUUGUUUGGAGACUUGCUGCUUGAUUGUAGAGUUUCAGAUUGGCGGCCUUCAGUUGAUAUCUCCCCACUGUAUGGCAGCUCCUUGAUGAAAUGUCCCAAUCAUAUGUUUGUAUCUAUACAUACUGACUCUGAUCCUUAAGGCUGUGUUUAGACUGGCAGCCCAUUUCUGAUCGUUUUUCCACUAGUUGGUCUUUUGACCAAUAACGUCAGACCUUUUCACAUCAGAUCUUUUUCAGAGGUGAUCUGAUUGGUCAAAAGACCAAUAAGUGAAAAUAUAUAUCAGAAUUAGGCUGUCUGUGUAAACAAAGCCUUUGUGUAACUGAAGCCUUUAGCCACACCCUACAUAGGACAUCUAGUUUCAUUUCUUGAGAACUGAAUGACUAUCAGAUUAAUAAGUAGCCUGAACAGCCACUAGUGGUUGCUGUUUGCCUGUCUUUUGAAGGUCCUAACUUGUUUGUCAUGGUGAGCUGUCUCUUUGUAGAUAGCACUUUACAAUAUGUAAUUAUCAGGUUCUUACUAAGACAUUUCAUAGUAAAAUGGUAAAUGGACGUUGUUUCCAUUGGAUCUAUUGAAAUAAGCAGAUGUUUACCAAUUGGGUAUGAAUUCUUUGAAGUACCAGAAAGUAUCCCCAGGUAAAAACAGUAGAAACCGUACUAUAAAAUAAGGUGCUACAUUUAUGUUUUUAUUAAGGUGGCAAGAUGCUCAUGUGGACCUGCAGAAGAAGUUCAGUGAAACCAGAUAAUGUGGAUGUAAUAAGAUGCUGCCUGGCGAUGGAGCAAUAGCCGAUUUGAAUGACUCCUUUUCAAAUGUAACCUAUCGUAGUAAAAGCAAGAAUACAAAAUACUGUAUGUGUUAACCAAUAAACAUUUAUGUGGGGUAUAAAUAAUGAGAGUGGGGAAAAAGAGCUCCACCACAUCGACAGGCAUUGUUUACUUUGACAUAUAGGCAUAAAUAUUUGAAUUUAAUUGAAAAAUAUCAUAUAUUAAAUGGGUUCUAACCUCAUGUCUAUACAUAACUACAUCAAAUAUGAAAAAAGACAAAAGAUCAUUGAAAAACACAGUCUAGUGGUAAUACAUACCUAAUAGCAUGAAUUAUAAACACCUCACAUGACAGGAUUUAAUCCUCAUCAUAUGAUGAUGUUCUGAAUGAAUUCUGCUCUCUGUCACGAAAUGAGAAAGGAAACCACAUAAUGAUGUGUUAUAGCUGGUUUGGUUAUUCUGGUUUCAUAACUGAGUUAUAAAUAUGCAUAAAUACUUCCUGUAGCUUCCAAAAGCUAUGAGGUACUGUUGUUGCUGUCUGAUUGCUUGUCUCUUCUUUUCUGCUCCACAAUGUAUUCAGCUUCUGAGCGGUGUAGACAACAACAAUUACAUGCACAGUUGUAGCUGUUGGAGACACACCUUACCCCAAGAAAUGGAUCAACAGCCUCACAAGCAGUGAGGUUUUCGAUCAGUUUUUCUCUAUCAACUUGUAGGGUCUGACCUUCUGGCAGGUGGAACGCCAGGGUCACAUGGUCCCAAACAAACCACUUGUCAUAUUCAUACAAACAAUCAAAAGGUUCCACUUCAACCACCUGUGGCCUAUGAAUUACCGGCUGAAAGUCAUGGGUUUCAGACACUGCUUGUGCAUGCCAGUCCAUGGUCCCCUCUUGGUAUUUAAAAACAUCUUCUCCACCAUUAUUAAGAGCUGGGUACUUCUCCAAUUCCUGUACACCUGGACUGUGAACAAGCACUGUGUACAUGAUCUCUUGUUUGUAGACAGUAGUUCCAUAGACUCUCAGGACAGGCUCUUCUCCACCACAGAUCUGCUGUCUGUACAUCAUCAGGAGAUCAGACAGACUGAAAGUGAACCUGAAGUUCCCAUAACGUGAUGCCUUCCUGAAGGCAGGUGAGGUGGUGAACUUGCUGAGGAAGGGUUGCUGCAUCUGCCUCUGCUCAGGUGUUCUGUCAGGGAAGAGCUUCUCCAGGUAACGGUCUUCUGCUGCUCUGAUAUCAUCAUGGUCUAUGGCUAGACCCCACCACAGGAGACUCUUCUCUCCGCCCUUAAAUCCACCUGAAUCCAAGAUUCCAUCAAGACCAGACUUUGUGGUGACAUGGGCCAAACUGGAUAUGUGAAACUCAAUAUCAGUGAGCUGUGGGAUGUCUUUCUGAAUAUUCUUGUAACAAGGGAGGCCUUCCAUGUCUCUCAGUGUGUUUAGAGUCUUUUGUGUUCCCC
rnacentral:lncRNA from 1 species